AAAAAUAUAUAUAUAUAUAUAGUGUGGUCAUGGGAUCUCCAACUGCAUGCAAGAGCAACCUGGAGAGACUUUGACAGAACAGGUCAGCAUAAUACCUGCAGCUGCCACUCGUCUUUCCUAUUGUG
ensembl:snoRNA